GUCCAUGGAGAGUUUGAUCCUGGCUCAGGUUGAAAGCUGGCGGUAUGCUUAACACAUGCAAGUCGUACGUAAGCAAUAAGAUAUUUAACCGUAUUUUAUAGCCAAAGUGGCGAACGGGUGCGUAACACGUAAGAACCUACCUUUUGGAGAGGGAUAACAGUGGGAAACCGCUGCUAAUACCUCAUAAUGCUGAGGAGCUAAAGGCCGAGAGGCCACCAAAAGAUGGGCUUGCGUCUGAUUAGCUAGUUGGUGAGGUAAUAGCUUACCAAGGCCACGAUCAGUAGCUGGUCUGAGAGGAUGAUCAGCCACACUGGGACUGAGACACGGCCCAGACUCCUACGGGAGGCAGCAGUGAGGAAUUUUCCGCAAUGGGCGAAAGCCUGACGGAGCAAUACCGCGUGGGUGAAGAAUGACUGUGGUCUGUAAAACCCUUUUCUUAGGAAAGAAGUUCUGACGGUACCUAAGGAAUAAGUGACGGCUAACCCUGUGCCAGCAGCCGCGGUAAUACAGGGGUCACAAGCUUUAACCGGAAUGAUUGGGCGUAAAGCGUCUGUAGGUGGUCUUUGAAGUCUACUGUCAAAUCCCAGGGCUCAACCUUGGAAAGGCAGUGGAGUACUCAAAGACUUGAGGUUUGUAGAGGUAAGGGGAAUUCCUAGUGGAGAGGUGAAAUUCGUAGAGAUUAGGAGGAACACCAGAGGCGAAAGCGCCUUACUGGGCCAAAACUGACACUGAGAGACGAAAGCUGUGGGAGCGACUAGGAUUAGAUACCCUAUUAGUCACAGCUGUAAACGAUGGAAACUAAGUGCUGUUUUUUCACAGUGCUGUAGCUAACGCGUUAAGUUUCCCGCCUGGGGAGUACGUUCGCAAGAAUGAAACUCAAAGGAAUUGACGGGGACCCGCACAAGCGGUGGAUUAUGCGGUUUAAUUUGAUGAUACGCAAAGAACCUUACCAGGGAUUGACAUGCUAAGAAUUCCCUUGAAAGGGGGAAGUGCAACUAUUACUGAAAGCUUUGUUUUAAAAGCAAAGUGAUUGUUGAGCUUAGACACAGGUGGUGCAUGGCUGUCGUCAGCUCGUGCCGUAGGGUAUAUGGUUAAGUCCCAUAACGAGCGCAACCCUCGAAGUUUGUUAACAUUAAGUGAUAGACUUAAAGACUGUCUUCUAUUUAGUUCUAGCCCUCGGGUUUGGAUUAAAUUAGCUAGACACUUUUUUGUCAGCCUUUUUGUACUCUCUAACUUGACUGCCAGCGUAAGCUGGAGGAAGGUGAGGAUGACGUCAAGUCAGCAUGCCCCUUACACCCUGGGCGACACGCGUAAUACAAUGGUCGGGACAAUCAGCAACGAACUCGUAAGAGGGAGCUAAUCUGUUAAACCCGGCCUCAGUUCGGAUUGCAGGCUGCAACUCGCCUGCAUGAAGUCGGAAUCGCUAGUAAUCGCCUAUCAGCCAUGAGGCGGUGAAUACGUUCCCGGGUCUUGUACACACCGCCCGUCACAUCAAGAAAGCGGAUCACACCCAAAGGUGGUAGUCCAACCGUAAGGAGGGCACCAACUAAGGUGGGGUUCGUGAUCGUGAUGAAGUCGUAACAAGGUAAGGCUACUGGAAGGUGGCCUUGGAUUACCUCCUUC
rnacentral:rRNA from 1 species